CAAACUAAGUUUCGUUGCUCUGAGUCUUUUCCCAUCUUCACGGAGCAAAUUCCUGAUCGCCAAUACCCGUAACUUCAGACUAUCGAUCGACUGCUUCGAAGACGCCGUUUCUUUCUUGGAUUUCCCUCUGUGAAGAGCGCAGCGAAAAGCCCCCCGGGUGCGUACUGGGAGAACAGGCGCACCUCUUCUUCUGCCCACCAGUCGAUACAGACUCAUGGCUCAGACUUCGCUUCGGGGUAGAAAGACUGCGAGAAAUCAAACUGGGUCCAAUCAAGAACCGUGACGGAGGCGAGGAUGGGUUCUCACGGCCGUGGAGGUUGAGACGUGUGGGGGUGCGGGAAAAAGUUGCAGAGCGAGACGCCAUUGAUGUGGACUUGUGACACUGAAGUAAGGAGAGCAGGAGAAAAAGAAACGUUGCGGACCCAGUUUCUUGAUUUUCUUUAAUGAUUCCAGAGAAACAAAC
rnacentral:lncRNA from 1 species